rnacentral:rRNA from 1 species
UACGUAGGGACCGAGCGUUGUCCGGAAUCAUUGGGCGUAAAGAGCGUUUAGGCGGCCUUUUAAGUCCUGCGUGAAAUCCUGCGGCUCAACCGCAGACGGUCGUGGGAAACUGGAAGGCUAGAGUGCCGGAGGGGAGAGUGGAAUUCCCGGUGUAGCGGUGAAAUGCGCAGAUAUCGGGAAGAACACCCGUGGCGAAGGCGGCUCUCUGGAACGCAACUGACGCUGAGACGCGAAAGCGUGGGGAGCAAACAGG